CAACCUAAACCCGACGAAACCCCCAGCCGUUUCCAUCGCGAGCAGAGAGAUAGGGGGGAGAGGGAGGGGAUCCGGCCUCCAGGAUCACGCUCCCUCAUUGCGCUCCCCGCCGGAGCGGCGCGUGAGGCUCUCUCUCUCUCUCUUGCCCGGCGCGAUGGAUCAGCACGUGGACGACAGGGCGGCGGCGAGCGUGGCGGCGGCGGCGCGGUCGCUGCGGGCGGGGCUGGAGCGGUCGUGCGCGAUGGGGCAGGCGCUGACGCGCGGN
rnacentral:lncRNA from 1 species